rnacentral:lncRNA from 1 species
CUGGGGGGAGGUGAGUUGCUGUGUUGUAAGAAAACUCAAACAGCCUGUGGGCAGAUCUAUGAGGGGAGGAACUGCGGCCUUCUGCCAAAAUCAACAUUAACUAGCCAAUCAUGACAGCCAAGUCUUUAGCCUCUGACAAGACUUCAGGUGACUGCAGACUCUGUGACAUCUUGAUUACGACCUUACAGGAGAUUCCAACCCAGAACUACCCAGUCAUAGACGUGGUUUUGCUACAUCACCUAGGCUGGUCUCCUACUCCUCAGCUCAAAAGAUCCACUGGCCUCAGCCUCCAGAGUAGCUGGGACUACAGAUGCACACCACCAGGCCCGGCUUCACUAGAUAAUUUUUAAUAACAGAGGGGAAAAUAGUAGCUUCACAGUGAAGAAGCCUGGCAGACAUCACAUUAACCAAAGGAGCAAAGUUACCAUCCCUAGUUAGAAAACCUACUGAUGUUACAUAAACUCUGAUGUGCUGUACCCCCCUUCUGUGUUGUAUUUUUUUCUAAAAAUGCAUAACUUCAAUUUAAUCCUAGAGAACUUCAGAUGAACCCAAAUUGCCGGACUUUUUACAAAAGAACUGACCAGUACUCUUCAAAGUGUCAAGGUCCUGAACAACAAAGAAGGACUGAGGAACCUACUGGAGGAGAUUAAGGAAUCCUGGAUUAAAGUCUAGAUGAGAACAACACAUUAGCGAGAAAAGCAGCAAACUUGAAUGAAGCCUGCCAUUUAAUAGAAUUGUAUCCAUGUCAAUUUCCUGGUUUCCAUCAUUGGACUAUGGUCAUAGAAGUUGUUAACAUUAGGGGAGGCAGAGUGAGGGGUAUACAGGAACUCUCCUAUUUGUGUAAUUUUUCUGUAAAGUCUAAAUUAU